ensembl:snRNA U6 U6 spliceosomal RNA
GUGCUCGCUUCGGCAGCAUAGAUACUAAAAUUGGAACGAGACAGAGAAGAUUAGCAUGGCCCCUGCACAAGGAUGACACGCAAAUUCGUGACGCGUUCCAUAUUUAA